UAAGGCCUGGCACUUCUCGAUAAGCCCGCGGCCUAUCAGCUAGUUGGUGAGGUAAUGGCUCACCAAGGCUAAGACGGGUAGCUGGUCUGAGAGGACGACCAGCCACACUGGAACUGAGACACGGUCCAGACACCUACGGGUGGCAGCAGUCGAGAAUUUUUCACAAUGGGCGAAAGCCUGAUGGAGCGACGCCGCGUGGGGGAUGAAUGGCUUCGGCCCGUAAACCCCUGUCAUUUGCGAACAAACCUUAUCAUUUAAAAGAUGAUGAGCUGAUUGUAGCGAAAGAGGAAGGGACGGCUAACUCUGUGCCAGCAGCCGCGGUAAUACAGAGGUCCCAAGCGUUGUUCGGAUUCACUGGGCGUAAAGGGUGCGUAGGUGGCCGGUUAAGUCUGACGUGAAAUCUCCGAGCCUAACUCGGAAACUGCAUCGGAAACUAUCCGGCUCGAGGGUUGGAGGGGGGGACUGGAAUACUUGGUGUAGCAGUGAAAUGCGUAGAUAUCAAGUGGAACACCAGUGGCGAAAGCGAGUCCCCGGACAAGACCUGACACUGAGGCACGAAAGCCAGGGGAGCAAACAGGAUUAGAUACCCUGGUAGUCCUGGCUGUAAACGGUGCAUGUUUGCUGUAAAAGGAAUCGACCCCUUUUGUGGCGAAGCUAACGCGAUAAACGUGCCGCCUGGGAAGUACGGUCGCAGAUUAA
rnacentral:rRNA from 1 species